rnacentral:rRNA from 1 species
GGACUACUCGGGUUUCUAAUCCUGUUUGCUACCCACGCUUUCGCGCCUCAGCGUCAGUAUCUGUCCAGACAGUCGCCUUCGCCACUGGUGUUCCUUCCGAUCUCUACGCAUUUCACCGCUACACCGGAAAUUCCACUGUCCUCUACAGUACUCCAGCUCUGCAGUUUAAGAUGCCGUUCCCAGGUUAAGCCCAGGGAUUUCACAUCUCACUUGCAGAACCGCCUACGCGCCCUUUACGCCCAGUAACUCCGAUUAACGCUUGCACCCUCUGUAUUACCGCGGCUGCUGGCAC